rnacentral:rRNA from 1 species
GAUCCUACGGGAGGCAGCAGUGAGGAAUAUUGGUCAAUGGGCGCGAGCCUGAACCAGCCAAGUAGCGUGAAGGAUGACUGCCCUACGGGUUGUAAACUUCUUUUAUAAAGGAAUAAAGUGAGGCACGUGUGCCUUUUUGUAUGUACUUUAUGAAUAAGGAUCGGCUAACUCCGUCCCAGCAGCCGCGGCAAUACGGAGGAUCCGUGCGUUAUCCGGAUUUAUUGGGUUUAAAGGGAGCGUAGUUGGGUUGUUAAGUCAGUUGUGAAAGUUUGCGGCUCAACCGCAAAAUUGUAAUUGAUAUGGGG